rnacentral:rRNA from 1 species
UGGGCGUAAGAGCUCGUAGGUCGUUUGUUACGUCGGAUGUGAAAACCUGAGGCUCAACCUCAGGCCUGCGUUCGAUACGGGCAAACUAGAGUUUGGUAGGGGAGACUGGAAUUCCUGGUGUAGCGGUGGAAUGCGCAGAUAUCAGGAGGAACACCAAUGGCGAAGGCAGGUCUCUGGGCCAAUACUGACACUGAGGAGCGAAAGUCUGGGGAGCGAACAGGAUUAGAUACCCUGGUAGUCCAGACCGUAAACGGUGGGCACUAGUUGUGGGAACCUUCCACGGUUUCUGCGACGCAGCUAACGCAUUAAGUGCCCCGCCUGGGGAGUACGAUCGCAAGAUUAAAACUCAAAGGAAUUGACGGGGCCCCGCACAAGCAGCGGAGCAUGCGGCUUAAUUCGACGCAACGCGAAGAACCUUACCAAGGCUUGACAUAUAGGGAAAAGUGGCAGAGAUGUCAUGUCCGCAAGGGCCCUAUACAGGUGGUGCAUGGUUGUCGUCAGCUCGUGUCGUGAGAUGUUGGGUUAAGUCCCGCAACGAGCGCAACCCUCGUUCUGUGUUGCCAGCAUUUAGUUGGGGACUCACAGGAGACUGCCGGGGUUAACUCGGAGGAAGGUGGGGAUGACGUCAAAUCAUCAUGCCCCUUAUGUCUUGGGCUGCACGCAUGCUACAAUGGCCGGUACAGAGGGCUGCAAUACCGUAAGGUGGAGCGAAUCCCAAAAAGCCGGUCUCAGUUUCGGAUUGAGGUCUGC